rnacentral:rRNA from 1 species
UCCCAUGGCUCAGAUUGAACGCUGGCGGCAGGCCUAACACAUGCAAGUCGAGCGGUAGAGAGGUGCUUGCUCCUCUUGAGAGCGGCGGACGGGUGAGUAAUGCCUAGGAAUCUGCCUGGUAGUGGGGGAUAACGCUCGGAAACGGACGCUAAUACCGCAUACGUCCUACGGGAGAAAGCAGGGGACCUUCGGGCCUUGCGCUAUCAGAUGAGCCUAGGUCGGAUUAGCUAGUUGGUGAGGUAAUGGCUCACCAAGGCGACGAUCCGUAACUGGUCUGAGAGGAUGAUCAGUCACACUGGAACUGAGACACGGUCCAGACUCCUACGGGAGGCAGCAGUGGGGAAUAUUGGACAAUGGGCGAAAGCCUGAUCCAGCCAUGCCGCGUGUGUGAAGAAGGUCUUCGGAUUGUAAAGCACUUUAAGUUGGGAGGAAGGGCAGUUACCUAAUACGUAUCUGUU